GCACCAAUCAUACACUUCAUCGAC
rnacentral:siRNA from 1 species